GACGAACGCUGGCGGCGUGCUUAACACAUGCAAGUCGAACGGAAAGGCCCUGCUUUUGUGGGGUGCUCGAGUGGCGAACGGGUGAGUAACACGUGGGUAACCUGCCCUUGACUUUGGGAUAACUUCAGGAAACUGGGGCUAAUACCGGAUAGGAGCUCCUGCUGCAUGGUGGGGGUUGGAAAGUUUCGGCGGUUGGGGAUGGACUCGCGGCUUAUCAGCUUGUUGGUGGGGUAGUGGCUUACCAAGGCUUUGACGGGUAGCCGGCCUGAGAGGGUGACCGGCGACAUUGGGACUGCGAUACGGCCCAGACUCCUACGGGAGGCAGCAGUGGGGAAUAUUGCACAAUGGGCGGAAGCCUGAUGCAGCAACGCCGCGUGCGGGAUGACGGCCUUCGGGUUGUAAACCGCUUUCGCCUGUGACGAAGCGUGAGUGACGGUAAUGGGUAAAGAAGCACCGGCUAACUACGUG
rnacentral:rRNA from 1 species